rnacentral:lncRNA from 1 species
AUGAUUUCCACAGUUCAAAUGGUCCCUAACAUGGAUGCAAUCCCGAAAAAUAAGGUGACGAUCCCUGCACAUGCGUACGGCCAUUUUAAAGACACACGUGUUCGCUGUGCUGUGCCCCAGCCUGUCAGGAGCGCCUCUUCCGCAGCUGAAUACCACCCUGCACGUCCUGCCCCUCAGCCGGUCACCCGGCAAUGCUCUGUUUUCAGAAAGCAAAGACAAAGGUGGGUCAGUGUCGCCUUCUUCCUACUUUUUUCUUUUCCUUUCUCUCUUCUUUCCGUUUCUUUUCUCUUUUCUUUCCUGUAUUUAUUUGAGACAGGGCGUCGCUCUGCGCCCAGGCAGGAGUGCAGCAGAGCAACAGCAACUCGUGCGGCUCUAGUGAUCUUCCCACCUCUGUCUUCGAGGAGCUGGGACCACAGGCGCAUGCCAUCACACCAGUUAACUGUGUUUAUUGUAGAGACGGGGUCUUGCUAUGUUACCCAGGCUGGUCUCAAACACCUGGCCUCACGCAGUCCUCCUGCCACAGCCUCCCAAAGUGCUGGGAUUCCAGGUGUGAGCGUCUGCACCUGGCUCUUCCUACUUUUCUACAGCUGGCCCCGGGGUGAGCACGCUGCUGCUCUGUGCACUGUGAGAGACUGUUUUCCAAAACGUGGCUGCCGUGUCCUGGGAGCCCGUAAAAUUGCACGACCUGGAGGCAGCCAAGCCUUUAGAAGCUAUUGCUGUGUUUCUUCCUCCUCCAAACGUGCAGGUUCUUCCAGGGCUACGUAUCCAUUUGUAGGUCAGAGUGACCCAGAUCCAAUACUUACAGCACCAGGCAACAAUGUCAGGGCCCUGGGUCCCUCCCUUGGCCAGCAAAUAAGAGCAAUAAAGGAACUGACGUCAGCAGAUCUUUGUCAUGAUAGGUUAUUGUGUUACAGGGAUGCAAAUUUCAUGGCUACAGGUCCUGUCAAAGUUGCUUCUAAGCCUAAACUCUGGGUGUUGCAAUUAGGGUUUCAUUGUCCAAAAAAAAGGAAAUACUUAAAGAUACUUUUAAAACUUGGUUUAGGUCAAAUGCCUUUAAAAACAGUUUUCUUUCAGGCUCCAGAGCCUGGGAUUGUAAGCUGGAGAGUCAGCAAGCAGCGCUCAGAGACUUGGUUCUCCCCUGGAGACUUGGUUCUUCCCUAA